rnacentral:lncRNA from 1 species
GCAGAUAAUGCAACAAAGAGGCCUUAACACCCCGGUAAAUGUGUUGCCAGUGGUAGAAGAACCCAGAACCGAUGAACCUCACCAACCUACCCUCAAUCCUCCUCAAGCAACCAGCCGAGAAACGGAAGAGAGAAAUAGGAGAGCGGACGGAGAAGUAGAACCAGAAGCAAGGGUUCACGGAAGGAGAGCGAGGGAGUUGAUUGAGAAUGAUGAAGUAGACAGUUACUCCGCCGGAACAACUGGGAGAAUGGGGAGCGAGACAUGGGAGGAGGAGUACCGCCAGGAGAAGAAACCCAGGCAGGAGGAGGAGAGCGUAGACCAAAAGCUGUAAAAGAUGAGAGAGCAGCUCUUGGCCGAGCUGGGAGUGAAGGAUCAGAACCAAACUCUCUUGCCCACCUCUUC